rnacentral:rRNA from 1 species
GAUGAACGCUAGCUACAGGCUUAACACAUGCAAGUCGAGGGGAAACGACAUCGAAAGCUUGCUUUUGAUGGGCGUCGACCGGCGCACGGGUGAGUAACGCGUAUCCAACCUGCCCAUCACUUGGGAAUAACCUUGCGAAAGUAAGACUAAUACCCAAUGAUAUCCCACGAAGGCAUCGGAAUGGGAUUAAAGAUUUAUCGGUGAUGGAUGGGGAUGCGUCUGAUUAGCUUGUUGGCGGGGUAACGGUCCACCAAGGCAACGAUCAGUAGGGGUUCUGAGAGGAAGGUCCCCCACAUUGGAACUGAGACACGGUCCAAACUCCUACGGGAGGCAGCAGUGAGGAAUAUUGGUCAAUGGGCGAGAGCCUGAACCAGCCAAGUAGCGUGCAGGAAGACGGCCCUAUGGGUUGUAAACUGCUUUUAUAAGGGAAUAAAGUGGGUCACGUGUGACUUUUUGCAUGUACCUUAUGAAUAAGGACCGGCUAAUUCCGUG